UACGGGGGGGGCAAGCGUUGUUCGGAAUUACUGGGCGUAAAGGGCUCGUAGGCGGCCAACUAAGUCAUACGUGAAAUCCCUCGGCUUAACCGGGGAACUGCGUCUGAUACUGGAAGGCUUGAAUCCGGGAGAGGGAUGUGGAAUUCCAGGUGUAGCGGUGAAAUGCGUAGAUAUCUGGAGGAACACCGGUGGCGAAGGCGGCAUCCUGGACCGGCAUUGACGCUGAGGCGCGAAAGCCAGGGGAGCAAACGGG
rnacentral:rRNA from 1 species